ensembl:lncRNA
AUGGCGACACGGUGAGGAAGAGGAAAGGCAGAAAAUCGCCCGGCGUGGGGUGAGGCCUGCAGGGCCUGCAGCCAGGCCCCAGCUCCCCUGCCCCACUUCUGGCCUCCUUCCUCUCUCCCUGCUUUCCUUCCCUCCUGUUCGGUUUUCCUCCCCGAGGAGCUGGAAACAUCAAGAAGCCCCACAAGAGCCCUCUGUCUCCAUCGCUGGACUGGGGAUUCGCCAAGAGAGGUUUUGGUGACUGAGCAGAGAAACUCGUGGUGUGGAGGAUCCAAGGCUCGUUAUCCAGAUGGCAUGCGGGCUGGGCUGCCUCGUCUGUCGUCUCCUGAAAGACGGACAGAUGAAAGACGACUUGAAAGGACACGGGGAGAUCAAGGGUUGUGAGUGCGAGGAGCAAGGCCAGGGGCUGACACGGUCCUUCUUGGUGUCAUGUUCAGCUUAUCUAACCUCAAGGACGUGUGAGCGAUGGCAGGAUGGAGCUGCUCACCGCCCUGCUGCCCCGGCUCAUACAGAAGGACGGGCAGCAGGGACAGACAGACCAUUUCUGGCAGACAGACCCUCUCAGGGAGUGGGGAGCUGGGCGAGGAGCAAGGCUUUCCUGACUUCCCUCCAGACAGGGGCCUUGCCUGCCCGACCUGUGGCACUUCACUCCGUCCUGCUCCUCGGCAGCAUUUUGCAUCUCGCCCAGUAAUGCCCGGGUUCCUUAAUAGCGUCUCAUGUGGGAUUUUAUCAAAGGCUUUAGGACAAUCCCCGUAAAUUAUAUCUACUGCGUUCCCUUUAUCCAUUGUUUUGUUGAUUCCAUCAGAAAUCAUCUCCCAGAGCAGACACGCACGCCUUGCCUUUCCGAAGCCCCCAGUUUGUUCCGUUUCUCUCUUAGCCAUGUAAUGUUUCAAUUAAUUUGUCUGGUACCGAGUUAUUGUUCUGAAUAGCCCUCAGAAGGGAUGAUCUGAGGAGCACCACCGACUUUCAUUGUGCCUAGGAUCUGGAUGUAGCAAUCGAAGCUUCUGCUCUCGGGUGCCAGGAGGGAUGGUUCUGGUGGGAUGUUUGCAGAAGUGCUGCAUGUGUUGAGCCAGUCCCUGCUUAGAGGAGCUGGGGAUCUCCUGGUGAUGAGAUGUGCCUAAAAUGAUCCCCAAAAGCCCAGGUUGAGGCUGUGAAACGUGAACACAGGAGGACGCUUGGUCUCUGUAACGGUUGAGCUGCCUGAGCACUAAGUUGCUCCAGCUUCGUCCUCGGAAACCCAACGAGCGAGAGUUUGCGGCUGGGCUGGAGCGGGGAGGAGGCGGUGAGACCAGCCUGGGAAGGGUUAAUCAUUUCCAUUGCAAUUGUGUCAUCUCUUUGGGGACCUCUCGCUCAUUUUGCGAGCGGCCGCUGAAAGCCGAGGCGCGGGGGCUCUUUCUUAUUCAGCUGCACGCAGCGUCAGAAGCACCGGACAGCCGCACAGCUGUGCUCAGCCGCCUCGGCCGUGCAGAUGGAUGGAGAAAAGGAUUUGUGUGCGUGCGUGUGCUUGCGUGUGUGUGUGUGUGCGCCUGAAACCUAAUUGUCUGCUGUCUAAUCCGUCAGCCAGGGGGACAGCUUGCACAAGCCCCUUCCAGGCAGGCUGAUAAAUGCAGCGCUGCCAGGCCCCGUUGCGAUGCGCUUGGCUUUAAUUGGGGUGGCUACGUGCGCGGGCUCUGCGCGCCCGCCUCCGUGGGUGCAGGGGAUGCUGCUCAUGGGGAAGUGUGAGUCCGGCGUCCCAGGGGAUGGAGCGGGGCUGGAGGCCCUGGGAGCAGCAUUCGGCACCGUGACAGCACGGCGACCCGGUGCUGGGCUGGGUGGUUUUCUUACUGCCUUGCAUAAAACCAGGAUUGUUCUGUAAGAGCAGUGACAACGACAGCAGCACUGGUUUUGCAGCUUGCGGGGGGCUCAGUGCCUCCUGAGAUGGGGCUGGAAACGAAAUAGAGGGCUGUUGGGGUUUUGGGAUCGCCCAGGGCGCGAUCACAUCAGUGAUCGGUCUUGGAGAUGUCACCUGUGAUCUUCAGCGUGGUGCAAGGAGCAGAGCCAGGCUCAGCAACGUGCCUCCUGAGCACCCUCCCAGCCCCAAGCACGUGGCAGCUCGGGGACUUUCCCAGCCGGAGUGGCGUUUUGUCUUUAAUACUCCUCAAUGGAUUUCCCAUGAAUUUGUCUAGUUGAUUUUUGUAAACACACAAGCUUUAAUCAUCCCCAGAGAGCUGUGGCAAGGACUUCCACUGCUUAACCACAUAUCACGUGAAGAACCAUCUCCUCUUGUGUCUUUUGAACCUGCUGCCUCUUAAUGUUAUUGGAUAUCUCCUAAUUCUUUUAUUGGGAGAUGCAGCGAGCCAUCAAUCUUGGUUCACCUUCUUGAGGCCGCAAACAUGCCUCUCUGGCUGCUUGUUUUCCAGGCUGAGGUCUUCCUCCCGUGGUCUCAUGUUUUUGAUCAUCCUCUUCUGGACCUUUUUCCAGCUCUGCUAGUGAUGUCAGGACUCUAGGCCUGGUGUCAUCUCCUUGUUUGUUAUACAAUUAGAGGUGAUGUCACGAUUACAGCAGGUGGUAUUUGCAUCAGCGUUGGUUGCUUGGUGUGUGGUGAUGUCAGGAGAGCGUUGUGUCCUGCCUUUGUUAUGAGAACUUCUCAUGAAGCUGCUGAUCCUCAACGCAGGGGUUUAAAAUAAUAAUAUUUUGCCUUUGGGUUCCCUGCCUGAAAGGGAUGGUGCCAGGCUGUUGUUUUUCAGAAGUCCAUGUGCUUUGCAAGAUAUUGCUGACUUAAAGGAGCGAUGCGUCUCAGCCACUUCAUCCCCCAGGUGCAGUCACCUCCAGGCUGGUGCCCACCAACUCGUCCAUAAUAAAUGCACAUCAGGUUUCA